CUCAUACUCUCUCCGUCCGGAGUUACUUGUCGCGGAAAUGGAUGUAUGUAGACAGAUUUUUAGUUCUAGAUACAUCCAUUUCUGCGACAAGUAAUUCGGGAUGGAAGGAGUACUAG
rnacentral:pre_miRNA from 1 species